GGGGAACACAAUUCCUUCAGGCAGCAGGUCAAAUAAAAUAUUCUUUAAUAUAGUUUUGCAUUCCGAUGUAUUUUAUCUGAUAGCUACAUGUACUCCUGUUGGCAUGAGACUGGUCCUCUGGUUCGGACCACCCCUCGUUGUUGUUAUGGAGAUUCAUUCAGUCUUUUUACUUCCCAAGUGGGAUUUAUAGGAAGUGGGUUGAACAGGGAAGUGCGUUAUGAUAAAGGGAAUACACACACACAAACACACCACACACACUUCAGCACAAACACACCACACACACUUCAUGCUUUCCUAUGCUACCUACUGCCAGAAGACCAACAACAUCAAUGUUUUUUAAACAUUCCCCCUGAAAACGUUUUUCUCUUUGCUGCUGCUGGUAUUUACCCGUUGUGAAAGAGUUCUUUGGCUCCAAACUUCACAAUCUUCACAAUCUUAAGCAGUCAUUUACUUCAGGGAGAAUUACGUCAUUUCGGACAACCCUGCAUACCUCCUCUGGAGUUUGGGACAAAAUCUUUUGUUACCUCCAAAACAUCUAGUCAAAACAUCUCAUAAAACCAUUUAAAUUAUGAAACAUAUCUGUUUUUAACAGGGCAGUUUUAGGUUCUAUCUUACUGUUAUGUAAUUGCUCCAACACUAGUGUUUUUUCCUCCUCAGAAACCCUCAAAAGUUCCCCAGACAACAGCCUCUUUACUGGGCCCCGUUCAGCUCGCCAUGUGACUCUGUUUUGGGGAGGAGUGGUGUGUAUGCCUGUGUCUCUGUGUGUGUGUGUUUGUGUGUGUCUCUGUGGUUGUGCAUGUGUGUGUGCUGCGGUAUUCUCUCUCAUAUCCCUAUCUGUGAAAUGGAACUAUCUGUGCCUUUAAGAGGUGUGCGUGUUAGUGAGUGUGACCGCCUGUGUCCAUGUGUGUAUCUGUGUGUGUGUGUGUGUGUGUGUGUGUGUGUGUGUGUGUGCGCGCCUGCAUGGGUAUUUCUCAAGCACAUGAGGGGAGUGGCGAUGCUAGUGGUGGGUCCAGAAUGAAAUCUAUUGCUUUAAGGGUGGGAGGGGUGGUGGUGGUGGGUGGGGGUACAGUAGGAGUGAGUUGAGAGUUUCAGGGAGGCUGGUAGAGAGACAGAGACAGAGACACAGAGAGAGAGACACAGAGAGAGAGAGACAGAGAGAGAGUGAGACAGAUAGGCCGAGUUCAGUUGAGUCCAGAGCAGCCUGGGAUUAAAAAGCCUAGCAGCCAUCACACAAAGCUGAGGGAGCAGGAACACACAAACUAGUUCUAAGGAGAGAAGACAGUGUUUGAGGUGUGAGAGUGUGUGCAUGUGUGUGUGUAACCUGGAGCAGAGAGAGAGAGAGAGUGACAGCAUGCUCGCCCAAGGCCAGAGACUGCAGGAGGAGCAGGACUAUGUGCAGGCCUACGAGAACGUCAGGGAGAAGUAUAAAGGCACACACACAUGCACCCACAGAAGCUUGCACGCACGCACUCACACACAAAUGCACACACAGCUUGCCCAGCUCCACAGAGCGUUGGUCCGUACUGCUGAGUCAAAUGCAGUCGGUCCUCGUCUGCCAUCUUUAUAACGUGAGGGCUCAGCGCUCGCGGCCUCAGUAUCGUUAGCGCGUCUUGUGUGUCAACUGACACCUGAAAACCUUCUAAUCCCGUCACAUGAAUCCUGUUCAUGAGUCAUCUAAGUCCCGGCUCUCCGGGCUACACAGCCCACUGCAGUACUCCGUGAACAUUUGAGCAGUCCCCCCACUGCUGGAUCAGAGGGGAAUAAGCUCCUUUCUGCUGCGUCACAGAGUGCACGAGAAAAUAGACUAUUCUGUUGUUUUCUUUUACAGAAAAAAUAUAGUGCUCUCAGAGAGGAGCUGGAGCUGGAGGAGUGACAGAACACACUGGCUUAACUGUCUUUAGGCGUGUCUUUAUUGAUCUUGGUUGGAAUCUGUGUUUUUAUUUACUUGAGAAGACUGUAAUUGAACAGGUUCACUGUCAGCAGCAGAACAGUUCAAGAGGAGGGGUGAUUGCGUGGUACCAUAAACUAUGAUCGGUUGACAGCUGGAUUCUCUUGUGCUUCAUUUGACCUGUUUUCUUCAUCAGACGCCAGACAUCAGACCGGGGCAUAUUUAAUUUAUCGCUCGAACCCCAAUAAUUAAACCAUCCUGAGCUUAAUUCUCCCAAGUAUUUAAGAAAUGCUUUGGGAAAAGGCCAAACACCAACCUCAUGGUUUCACCUUGGCUUGCAGAAGUAGAGGGUGCGCAUACUUCUCCCCGAGCACGCCCUAAUGAAUCAAUACCAGAAUAAAAAAAGAAUCAGAUCUGUCAUCGUGACUCUGCAGCGUCUGCAUUGGUUGACGGGAAGCGACCGGCGGGCCGCUGGGAUAGGGCUUGCCCCCCGAUUGGCCGAGACAGCUCCCUGUGAGAACCCAUGAGGAUGAGACGGGACAGGCAGGGGGGGAAGGGGUUGAGGGGGAGGAGGGGG
ensembl:lncRNA